GGAUUCGGGUUCUCACUUUCCUGGUUGGUUUUCUGAGUAUGGUUGGGUAGGUCAGAAGGGGCAGUUUCUCCUAAACCUUUCAUUCCCAAAGUCCACUGCUCCCCAGAAGUAAGGCCAGGUUUCUGUACGUGUGUUGAGGUCGCCAGGAGGUAGUCAUGGGGAAGAGGAGGGAGGCCUGGGAAGGAAACGUUUCUCCUAUCCUCCAUUUCACAGGCAGUCUAGAAGCCUCCAAACUGGGUCAGAGAACAAAAGUUGCUACACUUGGGGCGAUGAGCCCCAGGGAGCAGGCGAAUCUCAAUCCUCCCCUCGCCAAGGGCGUCCCAACCCAGCCUUCCCCUCCCUCCCUACACACCCACUCACCCUCCCCUAGUUACAACAGGGAAUCGUAAAGUCCAGAGGAGAAGAGAACCGGGGUAGUUCGAAACUCGAAUUCUCCUCCCCCCAGCGCGGGGAUAGGGCUCCGGAGGUCGGAGAUCGCACAGGGGCAGGGAGGGUAUGCUUGAGGUACCCAAAAGUUGGAUCUAUCCUGGGGCUAACCAAAUGGAUAUGAAGACUGUCAAGAAGGAGCCUGAGGGAGGAAGGUGGAUUGACCAUGGUCUUGGAGAAAAGUUAGUAGGUUCUCCACCCCUUCUGGAGGGAGAAGGAAUAGCACAGAACACGAGGGAGGCAAUUUUCCAAUUAGAGAAAAUGAAAGUAAGUACUCUAUUAUGCUAAAAGAAAAAUGAAAGUGAAAAGAGAGGGACAAGAUAAAAGCAAAGGGCUUAGGAAUAGGGUAGGAGGGGGG